AUGGCAUCUUACACAGUGGUCAUUGUCCCUCUCAGGAGCAGUCCUAACAGUCUGGAUGCAUUGCAGUUCUUCCUCUGGGUGAAGAAGAUGAAGGACUUGGAGAGGGAAAAGGACUUUUUGUGGAUUGGAUUGCAGGCUUUAGAGCAGGUGCGAGAGAAGUUAUGCUCCAACCUAGAAGACAACAUGGAAGUGCAAGACCAAUUCAAGAAAGGAGAUAUGAGAAAAGUGUUUCCAGACCCCCCCACCCUACUGUUGGCUCAGAUUCACAGAGUGAACAGGACCUUGAGGAAUCUACUGUGUGACUCCAGGAAUCCCACUGAUCCUGCAAUAGAAGGUACUGAAGGACACCAGCCCUCUCCUACCUGUUCAGAAGAAAGUGCUUGUUUUUGAUCAGCUGUUUGUUUUGAAGUUCUGUACUGCAUUUUCCUGUAUUUUGUGCUUGCAGAAUGUAUUCGGAGUGGAUUGAAGUCAUUUUCUGUGCGAAAAAUUGCCUACUUGAUUAGAUUUCCAUAACAUAUGGCAUACAACUCGCACACUGCUUUGAAUGUUUUAUUCAAGAAUUCAAUGCACUCGACUCAACCUUCCAUUUCCAUUGACCUUCCAGGAAUGAAUGUACUGAAGGUAUAUUAACUGCCGUCUGCCAUUUAGUUUCUGAUACUAUUGGAUUAAAAAUGCAAAACACUUAUUUUUGCAAUGAUAACUUGAUACAUGCAAUGAAAUGAGAUCAUGUGACAACACUAGCAUUUUUUCUUUUUAUACUUCACAUACACUGGCUGCCAAAAGUUUGCAGUAAUAUUUUAGGUUAAUUUUAAAAGGCUUAAAAUAAAGGAAUUAAUAACGUUCACAAGGGUGUACUGAAUUCAUCAAAAGUGACCGCAAAGACCAAUAAUUCCAAUAAAUGCUGUUCUUAAGAAAUUUGUUCAUUUAAAUAAUCCUGAAAAAAUAUAUCACGGUUUCCACAAAAUAUUAAGCAGUAAAAACUGUUUCCAACAUUGACAAUGAUAAGAAACAUUAUUAAUAUUCGAGCACCACCAGUAAUAAUAAAGUACCAAAUCAGCAUAUAAGAAUGAAUUCUGAACGAUCAUGUGAC
rnacentral:lncRNA from 1 species